rnacentral:rRNA from 1 species
UUCCAGACUCCUACGGGAGGCAGCAGUGGGGAAUAUUGCACAAUGGGGGAAACCCUGAUGCAGCGACGCCGCGUGAGCGAUGAAGUAUUUCGGUAUGUAAAGCUCUAUCAGCAGGGAAGAAGAUGACGGUACCUGACUAAGAAGCCCCGGCUAACUACGUGCCAGCAGCCGCGGUAAUACGUAGGGGGCAAGCGUUAUCCGGAUUUACUGGGUGUAAAGGGAGCGUAGACGGCGAUGCAAGCCAGAUGUGAAAGCCCGGGGCUCAACCCCGGGACUGCAUUUGGAACUGUGUGGCUGGAGUGUCGGAGAGGCAGGCGGAAUUCCUAGUGUAGCGGUGAAAUGCGUAGAUAUUAGGAGGAACACCAGUGGCGAAGGCGGCCUGCUGGACGAUGACUGACGUUGAGGCUCGAAAGCGUGGGGAGCAAACAGGAUUAGAUACCCCGGUAA